rnacentral:rRNA from 1 species
CACGUAGGGCGCGAGCGUUGUCCGGAUUUAUUGGGCGUAAAGCGUGCGCAGGCGGUUGUGCAAGACAGAUGUGAAAUCCCCGGGCUCAACCUGGGAAUUGCAUUUGUGACUGCACGGCUAGAGUGUGUCAGAGGGGGGUAGAAUUCCACGUGUAGCAGUGAAAUGCGUAGAGAUGUGGAGGAAUACCGAUGGCGAAGGCAGCCCCCUGGGAUAACACUGACGCUCAUGCACGAAAGCGUGGGGAGCAAACAGG